rnacentral:rRNA from 1 species
GUCUCUUCGGGGAUGAUUAAACCGGCGCACGGGUGAGUAACACGUGAGUGACCUGCCUUUUAGACUGGAACAACUUACCGAAAGGUGAGCUAAUGCCGGAUGAGUUAUAUAAGUGCAUGUUUAUAUAGGAAAAGUUGGGGAGACCUGACGCUGAAAGAUGGACUCGCGUCCCAUUAGCUAGUUGGUAGGGUAAUGGCCUACCAAGGCGACGAUGGGUAGCCGGCCUGAGAGGGUGGCCGGCCACACUGGGACUGAGACACGGCCCAGACUCCUACGGGAGGCAGCAGUGGGGAAUUUUGCGCAAUGCUCGUAAGAGUGACGCAGCGACGCCGCGUGAAUGACGAAGGCCUUCGGGUCGUAAAGUUCUUUCGACAGGGAAGAAAAUGCCUAUAAGUAACUGUGUAUGUAUUGACGGUACCUGUAUAAGCAGCCCCGGCUAACUCCGUGCCAGCAGCCGCGGUAAUACGGAGGGGGCGAGCGUUGUUCGGAGUGACUGGGCGUAAAGAGCACGUAGGCGGUGUUGUAAGUCAUUAGUCAAAGACUAGAGCUCAACUUUAGUAAGGCUAGUGAUACUAUAAUACUAGAGUAUCAGAGAGGAUUGCAGAAUUCCUGGUGUAGCGGUGAAAUGCGUAGAUAUCAGGAGGAAUACCGUUAGCGGAGGCGGCAAUCUGGCUGGAAACUGACGCUG